rnacentral:rRNA from 1 species
AUUGAACGCUGGCGGCAGGCCUAACACAUGCAAGUCGAACGAGUGGCGGACGGGUGAGUAAUGUCUGGGAAACUGCCUGAUGGAGGGGGAUAACUAAUGGAAACGGUAGCUAAUACCGCAUACCAUCAGAUGUGCCCAGAUGGGCUUAGCUAGUUGGUGGGGGAACGGCUCACCAAGGCGACGAUCCCUAGCUUGUCUGAGAGGAUAACCAGCCACACUGGAACGGUGGCCCGGUCCAGACGCCGACGUGAGGCAGCAGUGGGGAAUAUUGCACAAUUGGCGCAAGCCUGAUGCAGCCAUGCCGCGUGUAUGAAGAAGGCCUUCGGGUUGUAAAGUACUUUCAGCGGGGAGGCGUUACCCGCAGAAGAAGCACCGGCUAACUCCGUGCCAGCCGCCGCGGUAAUUC